rnacentral:rRNA from 1 species
CCUACGGGAGGCUGCAGUGGGGAAUAUUGGACAAUGGGCGAAAGCCUGAUCCAGCCAUGCCGCGUGUGUGAAGAAGGCCUUCGGGUUGUAAAGCACUUUCAGUGGGGAAGAAAGCCUUGGGGCUAAUACCCUCGAGGAAGGACAUCACCCACAGAAGAAGCACCGGCUAACUCCGUGCCAGCAGCCGCGGUAAUACGGAGGGUGCGAGCGUUAAUCGGAAUUACUGGGCGUAAAGCGCGCGUAGGCGGUCUGAUAAGCCGGUUUUGAAAGCCCCGGGCUCAACCUGGGAACGGCAUCCGGAACUGUCAGGCUAGAGUGCAGGAGAGGAAGGUAGAAUUCCCGGUGUAGCGGUGAAAUGCGUAGAGAUCGGGAGGAAUACCAGUGGCGAAGGCGGCCUUCUGGACUGACACUGACGCUGAGGUGCGAAAGCGUGGGUAGCAAACAGGAUUAGAUACCCUGGUAGUC